CCUACGAGCUGCUGCAGUGGGGAAUAUUGGACAAUGGGCGAAAGCCUGAUCCAGCCAUGCCGCGUGUGUGAAGAAGGCCUUCGGGUUGUAAAGCACUUUCAGUGGGGAAGAAAGCCUUGGGGCUAAUACCCUCGAGGAAGGACAUCACCCACAGAAGAAGCACCGGCUAACUCCGUGCCAGCAGCCGCGGUAAUACGGAGGGUGCGAGCGUUAAUCGGAAUUACUGGGCGUAAAGCGCGCGUAGGCGGUCUGAUAAGCCGGUUGUGAAAGCCCCGGGCUCAACCUGGGAACGGCAUCCGGAACUGUCAGGCUAGAGUGCAGGAGAGGAAGGUAGAAUUCCCGGUGUAGCGGUGAAAUGCGUAGAGAUCGGGAGGAAUACCAGUGGCGAAGGCGGCCUUCUGGACUGACACUGACGCUGAGGUGCGAAAGCGUGGGUAGCAAACAGGAUUAGAUACCCCUGUAGUC
rnacentral:rRNA from 1 species